UGCCGUACGGGGGCGUGGCCACGCAGCCGCCGUCCGGCCGUCGCGGUUCACGUGCCGCCGGCGGCGGCUCUUCCUGGACGGGUCGUGGCUCGGCCCGGGACUCCGAGCCUCAGCAGCGAGGUUGUGAAGAUGAGAAAAGAAGUGAAGAGAAUCUGAGUUUUUAUCUGAAAACUUGUCAGGAGUGUGAGCAGACUGGAGUCAAAAAAGGGUACUGAAGAUGCGCUGUUAAAAAGCCAGAGAUGAGCACGACAACGAUUGCUUGAAGAAAUCCCUGCCAUGAAGGAAUGGUUGUACCACUAUCAUAGCCUGACGUUCUCAAAAAGUACUUCCCAAAAUGUUCGUCAAAUACGGAUUACUGAGCCUUUGCUGGUCUCAUGGGGAAUUUCAGUAGUGGUGUCAUCUUGCUAAGAAGGAGACAGGAAUCACUGGAAGAGAGCCUGGGAUACCCUCCAUUAGGAAACUCAUGUGGCUGGUCCUGCCCCUUUGUCCUGCACCUCGCAAGACCCAUGGGAAGGAUGCAGAUCAACAGGGAACAGCGAUGGACAAUAACUGAAUUUUUGCACAUGUGAAUGAAGUGCAUGACUGUUAACUCUGAUCUACAAGUACUUGAACCUUUAGUAUGAAUCAGUUUUAAAUAUUCAUUUGUUUUAGUGGUAGCAAGUUAUUCUGAUGAACAGCCUUUAUUAUGGUUCAUGCUUCAAAAUAAUUCCCAUCUCCCUUGCACAAAUCAGCACCCGUUACCAACCACCCAUGUACUGUCAAACAAUGAUGUCUUUUCAUUUAUUUCCCUGUAAUUGAAAUAUUGUAUGAUUGGGAACAUUUGUGAGCAGUUUCCAUGAGGCCCCAACGAAGGUUCAGACCGUGGAGGGUCCCACUUGGACCAUCUGUGGCUCACAGGGAAGAACUGAUCAAGGAGCCCCUGGAGGCAUCUCUAGGACCCCCUAGUAACACAUUUUCAACAAGUCCCCAGGGGAUGCCCGGCCACAUGCGCUGGGCCCCCGACCCUGAGGCAUCCUCCUGGGUAGUUGUCAGCUUGAGCAGCCAUUGUCAAUGCUGACUGCACACCAGAAUCACCUGAGGGCUUGAAAAUGCUAGUGUGUGAGCGUCUGUGCUUUUUGCAGAGCCCUGGGGAUUCUAAGGCACAGGUAGGAUUGGACAGAGAACCACUACCCCUUUGUCCUUAUCUGUGGCCCACCUGCCCCCCAGGAGGAAGGGGAGCAGUUGCUCUUUGGACACAUCUGGGGAGUUUUCUGAACAUAUCAGCCCAGCUACAUCUCACCUUUGUGGAACUUGCCUGCUUGCAGAGAGGUGUGUUCUGGUCUGUGGUCCUGCCCUGCAGUCAGGGGCAGGCCCAAAGGGCAAAAUCUGCUGGGUGUCUAGUUUGUUUGUGGCCCAGUGGCCUCCUGCUAAUUCAGUGGCAUAGUACUACGGGCCCACCUCGUUGAGAUCUCAAGCCAUAUCUUCAAGGAGCUUUGGCCAGUGAUACAGCUGAUGCUCUCAUCUCUUACCUGGCAUCUCUUUCUGUAUCUCCUUGAGUUAGAACAUAGACUGUAAGAGGGGAGUGGUGUGUAUUGAUACCCCAUGUUAAAUCUGUCUGGUUGGCAUCGGCUCCUCCCACUGCAGGGGGAAUGUGUUUGGAAUCCUUUGAAUGUGUUUCAAAAAUGACUGUAUUUGUAGUAAACAAUUAUGGAAAAUACAUAUUUAGGAAUAUAUAUCAUUACUUUCGCUCUGUUUGAUAUUGAAAUAUUUAUUUAUGCCCUCACAUAAUCUAACAAAACUCAUCUCAACUUAUGAUACUCAUGAACAGUUACCUUCUUAAAGAAUGGCCAACACUGGAAAAUCACAGUGCACAUGCUGAGGUUCAGAGGUCAAGAGGGGAAAAUAAUCUGAGAAAACAGAGUGAAGGUUUUCUCCCCAUGAAACAGACUGAUUGCAAGAAAUUAAAAACUUCAGAAAGUACCAACAAAAUUCUGAAGGGCAUUGAGUUUCUAAAAAAGGGGACCCUCUCUAAGAUCAGAAGUGAGAGGUUUCAGGGGAAAUGCAGGAUCCCAGUAUUUCGGAUUCCCAGGGAAGUGGUGGCUAGUGGUAGGGCCGUUGCAGAGAGAGGAGUUGGUGAAGUGGAAGAACGGUAGAGACACAAGGAGAAAGAGGUACAAGACUAUUCAUUGAUCCAACAGCAUUUGAGUACCUCCUAUGUGCCAGGCAAUAUUUAGGGGCUGGGAUGAAGCAGUGAACAGAUUAAAGCCCAAGCUGUUACAGAACUUGUGCUGUACUGGUGGAAUUUAUAAUAAAACAAAUAUGUAACGCAACAAGUGGCGAUGAGUGUUCUGCAGAAAAACACAGCCGAGUGAGGGGAGAGAGGUCUGGAUUGUGGUGUAGAUGCCUUUUAACCUCCUUGGUUGGCUAACAUUUAAGAAGAGGCUGGAAUCAAGGUGUGGGCACAAAAGGACGGCUGUAGGAAGAGCAUUUCCGGCAAGCAUCAAGUGCCAAGGCCCUGGAGUGCAAACGUUCAUGGUAUUUCCAAGAACAGAUGAUGUGUUUCACCACUUUGGGAGCACAUUCAGAUCUCUCAUUUUUCCAAGGAAUCACCUAGUUCUCCUCUGCCCUUCAUACCAGACAGCCUAAUAUUUCCCUCCUGAGGUCACAGCCCACAUCUACACCCUGUAUAGCCCAAGAGGCUUGGGGAUAUGUUCAUUUCACAGGAUUCCCCCACUUCUCACGGCUGGUUGGAGAGAAAACCGGAGCAUCUGACCAGGCAAGAGCCUCAGGCUUCUAUUGCUGCCACUCAUAGUUGCAUUUGAAAAUGUCUUGCACAUUCCGAUGGUGUCUAUCCAACGGCCUCUGCCACUGGCUCCCAUGUCCCUGGGUGCCUGCCCUUGGGCUCUAAGCACCCGCUCCUGCAGCUGUGGUCAGAUGCUCUCUCUCUCUCCCCCUGUAAAGCUACUUUGCCAGGUUGGCUGGGUCUCCAGACAAAUUUCCAACUCUGGUCACAUACUUUGUGACAUCCAGGAUAUUCAUUGGUUGUAAAACGGUGUAACAAUGAAACCUUCAUGCCGAAAAUUCAAUAGAUUAAAAAAUCCAAUUGUACAGCUUUUUAAGACCCUUACAUUGUGGUUGGUCCAUGGAGGUUGAGAGAGGGAUUUUGGAGGAGACUAAUGUGACUGUAAGCCAGGGAGAGGGGUUACAUCUGACUCCUGCAGGAAAUGUGAAAGGCAGGAAGUUGUUGUCCAGCUGCUGAUGGGUGAGCAGCAGGAGAGAAGGGCAUAUUGGGACUGACUGGUGUGCCUGGAGUUUGUUGGGGUAAAGAAUUCAUGAGCAUUUCCCCAUUGGGGUUUACACUGGUAAACCCAUAGUGGAAGAUGGCUGGGGACUGUGGGUACCUAAGAAUGGCCAGAAAACCCGAGAGACUUCCUAGGUUUGCUUCAGAGCAGGGGAAGACCCAGUGCCGCAGAAUUCAUUUGGAGAGCUAUCAGAAGACACAAUUGCUUCUCUCCGGUGGGUCCCCUGGUUCCAUGUGCUGGUUAUUUAGAAUUCCAGGAGAGAACACAGUAAUAGGCUAACAUUUCACUUAUCACCUUCCAAGCUCAAUUCUUAAGGCUUCCACACAUAUGAUCUCAUUUAACUUUCACUUUCUCUCCAGAAGGAAAUAUUCUUAUUUUAUAGAUGAGGAGACAGAGGGUCACAGGGAGUAUGUAAUUUGCUAAAGUUUAUCAAGCAAGUAAUGGGUGCACCUGGGCUAAAUUAAAAUCUUAACACACUCCAGUUGAGGAGGGAAGUUGGCAGUGUAGGUGAACAGGAUUGGGCAUGAGUUGAUGACAGUCGAAGGCUGGUGGUGGAAGAUAAGGUUCAUUUUACUAAUCUCUUUUUUUAUGUAUUUGAAAUUUUCCAUUAAAAAAUUAAAAAGUA